CGAGCGGGUGUAGCAAUACAUGCCGGCGACCGGCGCAAGGGUGCGUAACGCGUGAGCAAUCUGCCCGUAUCAGGGGGAUAAGCGAUGGAAACGUCGUCUAAUACCGCAUAACACCAAUGAUGGCAUCAUCGAUGGUUGAAAGCUUCGGUGGAUACGGAUGAGCUCGCGAGACAUUAGUUAGUUGGCGGGGUAACGGCCCACCAAGACCGCGAUGUCUAGGGGAACUGAGAGGUUGGUCCCCCCACACUGGAACUGAGACACGGUCCAGACUCCUACGGGAGGCAGCAGUGAGGAAUAUUGGACAAUGGCCGGAAGGCUGAUCCAGCCAUGCCGCGUGAAGGAAUAAGGUCCUUAAUGGAUUGUAAACUUCUUUUGUACGAGAGCAAUAAGUGUCACGAGUGACACGAUGAGAGUAUCGUACGAAUAAGCAUCGGCUAACUCCGUGCCAGCAGCCGC
rnacentral:rRNA from 1 species